rnacentral:rRNA from 1 species
AACUUUCAACAACGGAUCUCUUGGUUCCCGCAUCGAUGAAGAACGCAGCGAAACGCGAUAGUUAAUGUGAAUUGCAGAAUUCAGUGAAUCAUCGAGUCUUUGAACGCACAUUGCGCCCAUUGGUAUUCCGAUGGGCAUGUCUGUUUGAGCGUCAUU